GAUGAAGAACGCAGCGAAAUGCGAUAAGUAAUGUGAAUUCAGAAUUCAGUGAAUCAUCGAAUCUUUGAACGCACAUUGCGCCCGUCAGUAUUCUGGCGGGCAUGCCUGUUCGAGCGUCAUUACGCCCCUCAAGUCCCCUGUGGACUUGGUGUUGGGGACCGGCGAGGCUGGUUUUCCAGCACAGCCGUCCCUUAAAUUAAUUGGCGGUCUCGCCGUGGCCCUCCUCUGCGCAGUAGUAAAACACUCGCAACAGGAGCCCGGCGCGGUCCACUGCCGUAAAACCCCCCAACUUUUUAUAGUUGACCUCGAAUCAGGUAGGACUACCCGCUGAACUUAAGCAUAUCAAUAAGCGGAGGA
rnacentral:misc_RNA from 1 species